ensembl:lncRNA
GAGCAGUUCCUCCCCUGAAUUAGUUGAAGUCCUCUGAGAAGCAGGCACCAAGUGAUAUUAGACAUCUGCAGAGAUUUUUUUCUUUGUUCAGCAAUGUGUCUCAGUCUUCCUGCCUGAAUCUCCAUCCUGUUAGUACAUACACUCAACAACAUGACAGAAUUUUCUUUAAAAGGUUGAUGAGUCAAGCCUUCAGCAGACUGCAAAAUUUCCGGUCAGGUGGAUAUUCACCUUCAUCAAUUCAGAUGGUCCCUCCCCAGCCUUAGUUCAAGGGUCAUGCAUGCUGCCCUGGUCUCUGGGCCCCUGGCUGUGACCUGGUCUAGAAGCACUAGACCUGCUCACUGCUAUAAGAAUAUAAACCAAUCUUGUAUGAGAAGAAAGUGAGGAUAUUUAUUUCAUUUUUAACUCUGUAUCUUCUCUUUCUAUUGUUGCCUUCUCAAACCC